CAUUAUCACCACCACUUUCAUUACUGUCAUCCCAAACACCACUUUCAACCAUUAGUAUCUAGAACACACUUUUACUAUAAGAUGUGAAUAGAUCGUCAGGACAGAUGGGCGGAAUAAGGACACCGACGAAUGCAAAAUUGAGGAAAAAAGUAUAUGGAUUGGUCAGAAUAGCCAUCUUGUUUUUUUUUUUUCAUUUUUCUUUUUGGUGGAUAGAUAAGGUUUAAAAUUUGCCCAAGCCCACAAACCACUCCUACAAGUUUGCUGGUGCCGGCAAAACUUCAGACAAUCGCUAAUCCAAUUUCAAGAGAUUUGGAAUCUGUCUCUGAAGGGAAUAUAAUAAAAAAUUAUUUUUUUGCUAAAUGAGAAGGAACAAGAGAGUUAGCAACAUUUUAUAGAAAUUUCAGGCGAGAUACUAACCGAAAUAGUGAUAUCUACGAUGAUAAAAUUGAAGAAGAAUGAUGGAAAUUUAUGAGAAUACUCAUGCAAGGCCUUUGGUCACUCCUGUUGAUGAAUUUUCAGUGAUUAUUUUAAUUGAUUUGGGGGUUUUAGGGUGGAGGAAGGAGGUGUUCAUGGUGAAAGGUGCUGCCGGUG
rnacentral:lncRNA from 1 species